CCCAGGUCAGGCGGGGCUACCCGCUGAAUUUAAGCAUAUCAUA
rnacentral:rRNA from 7 species